GAUGAACGCUGGCGGCGUGCCUAAUACAUGCAAGUCGAGCGAACAGACGAGGAGCUUGCUCCUCUGACGUUAGCGGCGGACGGGUGAGUAACACGUGGAUACCCUACCUAUAAGACUGGGAUAACUUCGGGAAACGGGAGCUAAUACCGGAUAAUAUAUUGAACCGCAUGGUUCAAUAGUGAAAGACGGUUUUGCUGUCACUUAUAGAUGGUUACGCGCCGCAUUAGCUAGUUGGUAAGGUAACGGCUUACCAAGGCAACGAUGCGUAGCCGACCUGAGAGGGUGAUCGGCCGCACUGGAGCUGAGACACGGUCCAGACUCCUACGGGAGGCAGCAGUAGGGAAUCUUCCGCAAUGGGCGAAAGCCUGACGGAGCAGCGCCGCGUGAGUGAUGAAGGUCUUCGGAUCGUAAAACUCUGUUAUUAGGGAAGAACAAAUGUGUAAGUAACUAUGCACGUCUUGACGGUACCUAAUCAGAAAGCCACGGCUAACUACGUG
rnacentral:rRNA from 1 species